CAAUAGCGUAUAUUAAAGUUGUUGCAGUUAAAAAGCUCGUAGUUGAAUUUUUGCUUGCCGCCGAUGUCGGAACUUCCGUACGUUCGGCGGCGUGCAUCCUUGGGUGGAACCUGUGUGGCAUUAGGUUGUCGUGCAGGGGAUGCUCAUCGUUUACUGUGAAAAAAUUAGAGUGUUCAAAGCAGGCUUACGCCGUUGAAUAUAUUAGCAUGGAAUAAUGAGAUAGGACCUUGGUACUAUUUUGUUGGUUUGCGCACCGAGGUAAUGAUUAAUAGGGACAGUUGUGGGUAUUCGUAUUCCAUUGUCAGAGGUGAAAUUCUUGGAUUUCUGGAAGACGAACGAAUGCGAAAGCAUUUACCAAGGAUGUUUUCAUUAA
rnacentral:rRNA from 1 species